GAUGAACGCUAGCGGCAGGCCUAAUACAUGCAAGUCGAACGGGAAUAAGAGGCUUGCUUCUUAUGAGAGUGGCGCACGGGUGCGUAACACGUAUGCAACCUACCUUCAACAGGGGGAUAGCCUUCCGAAAGGGAGAUUAACACCGCAUAACAUAAUGAACUGGCAUCAGUUUAUUAUCAAACCUACGGGGGUUGAAGAGGGGCAUGCGUCCGAUUAGUUAGUUGGUGAGGUAACGGCUCACCAAGACCACGAUCGGUAGGGGAUCUGAGAGGAUGACCCCCCACACUGGUACUGAGACACGGACCAGACUCCUACGGGAGGCAGCAGUAAGGAAUAUUGGUCAAUGGACGGAAGUCUGAACCAGCCAUGCCGCGUGCAGGAAGACGGUCCUCUGGAUUGUAAACUGCUUUUGUUAGGGAAGAAACCCUCGGUUGCGAUCGAGGCUGACGGUACCUAAAGAAUAAGGAUCGGCUAACUCCGUGCCAGCAGCCGCAGUAAAAC
rnacentral:rRNA from 1 species